UUUCACCUGUGGUAUGCGUAAUGAAAUUCUGUUUUGAGGCCUACAUAAUUUUGCAAGGAAAGUUGAUUUCGAACUUGUUUGAGUCGCUUAUCUGCCUGUUUUUAAACAGGCCUGCAAAACCUUUUCAUACGGUAUUACGGGUUUUUU
rnacentral:other from 1 species